UACAGAGGGUGCGAGCGUUGUCCGGAAUCACUGGGCGUAAAGGGCGCGUAGGCGGCCUGAUAAGUAGGGGGUGAAAUCCUGUGGCUCAACUGCAGGGCUGCCUCCUAGACUGUCGGGCUUGAGCACGGUAGAGGCAGAUGGAAUUCCCGGUGUAGCGGUGGAAUGCGUAGAGAUCGGGAAGAACAUCGGUGGCGAAGUCGGUCUGCUGGGCCGUUGCUGACGCUGAGGCGCGACAUCUUGGGGAGCAAACAGG
rnacentral:rRNA from 1 species